rnacentral:rRNA from 1 species
UACGUAGGGCGCAAGCGUUGUCCGGAAUUAUUGGGCGUAAAGAGCGUGUAGGCGGCCUGGAAGGUCAGCUGUGAAAACUCGAGGCUCAACCUCGAGACGUCGGUUGAAACCACCUGGCUAGAGUCCGGAAGAGGAGAGUGGAGUUCCCGGUGUAGCGGUGAAAUGCGCAGAUAUCAGGAGGAACACCGGUGGCGAAGGCGGGACUCUGGGCCGAUACUGACGCUGAGGAGCGAAAGCGUGGGGAGCGAACAGG